UACGUAGGGUGCGAGCGUUGUCCGGAAUUAUUGGGCGUAAAGAGCUCGUAGGCGGUGUGUCACGUCGUUCGUGAAAACCUGCAGCUUAACUGUGGGCGUGCGGUCGAUACGGGCAUCACUGGAGUUCGGCAGGGGAGACUGGAAUUCCUGGUGUAGCGGUGAAAUGCGCAGAUAUCAGGAGGAACACCGGUGGCGAAGGCGGGCCUCUGGGCCGAUACUGACGCUGAGGAGCGAAAGCGUGGGGAGCAAACAGG
rnacentral:rRNA from 1 species